rfam:Triticum aestivum genome assembly, contig: Triticum_aestivum_CS42_TGACv1_scaffold_321903_4BL
AUCUUUUGAUGAACUUCUUCUGGCCUCGUUUGUCGUAAUUGGCAUAGUCUUUUCUUGCCAACCAUUCUGUUAUAUAUCACAACCAUAGUCACUUGAU